CUCAUUUAAGGAUUGGCACUGGAGGUGAGGGUUUCUUGCUGGAGAUCUAUGCCUACCUUAGGCCUUCUGAAGGGACGCAUGAUGAGUCUGAAGAUGGUUAAGACCAAACUAAUACACGUACUUAUCUCUCUGGCACAGAAGGAGCUGAGGUUCAUUCUGUUCAUCUCUGGAGUGCAUCUUCCAGUUUGACUUCCUCUGUUUUUGUGGUAAAUGCGUGUCAUGCAGAAGGAAGAAACAUACAUGCAUAAGCUGGCUUCAUGAAAACUGGAGCAUGUUUCCAACUUUACCACAUGUGAAUAUGAGUUGUUGAUAUUUAUUACAGCCCAAAUGGAUAUUGUAAAUAUUUUGAUGCUGUUUAGAACUAUACCCAUCUACUGAAGUAAUUAAAUAACAUGCUUAACAGACUUGUUUGAAUAGCCGCUCAUGUAUUAGUACAGUAGAUGUUAAAACAUCAUUAUUUGAAAAUAUAUAUAUAUAUAUAUAAUAAAAUUGUAAUUUUAAAGAACUGAAUUAUCUGAAGAUUUAAACUCCCCCCAGGCAUUUUUCAUCAUGAAUUGUAAGACCUGACUUCUAGAGGAUGUAUUUUUCCAGGCUCUUAGCCAAUGCAAAGUAUUUUUUGGAAUA